AGUGUGGGGAGCAAACAGGAUUAGAUACCCUGGUAGUCCACACUGUAAACGAUGAAUGCUAGGUGUAGGGGGUAUCGACCCCUUCUGUGCCGGAGUAAACACAAUAAGCAUUCCGCCUGGGGAGUACGGCCGCAAGGUUGAAACUCAAAGGAAUUGACGGGGGCCCGCACAAGCAGCGGAGCAUGUGGUUUAAUUCGAAGCAACGCGAAGAACCUUACCAGGUCUUGACAUCCAGGUAAAGCCGUAGAGAUACGGUGUGUGCUUGCACAAUCUGAGACAGGUGGUGCAUGGUUGUCGUCAGCUCGUGUCGUGAGAUGUUGGGUUAAGUCCCGCAACGAGCGCAACCCUUAUUGUUAGUUGCUACCAUUUAGUUGAGCACUCUAGCGAGACUGCCCGGGUUAACCGGGAGGAAGGUGGGGAUGACGUCAAAUCAUCAUGCCCCUUAUGUCUAGGGCUACACACGUGCUACAAUGGCAAGUACAAAGAGAAGCAAGACCGUGAGGUGGAGCAAAACUCAAAAACUUGUCUCAGUUCGGAUUGUAGGCUGAAACUCGCCUACAUGAAGCUGGAGUUGCUAGUAAUCGCGAAUCAGCAUGUCGCGGUGAAUACGUUCCCGGGCCUUGUACACACCGCCCGUCACACCAUGAGAGUUGGCAAUACCCAAAGUGCGUGAUCUGACUCGCAAGAGAGGAAGCGCCCUAAGGUAGGGUCAGCGAUUGGGGUGAAGUCGUAACAAGGUAGCCGUAGGAGAACCUGCGGCUG
rnacentral:rRNA from 1 species